GACGAAGGGGCUAGCGUUGUUCGGAAUUACUGGGCGUAAAGCGCGUGUAGGCGGUUGCCCAAGUCGGGUGUGAAAGCCUUGAGCUCAACUCAAGAAAUGCACUCGGUACUGGGUGACUAGAGGACCGGAGAGGAUAGUGGAAUUCCCAGUGUAGUGGUGAAAUACGUAGAGAUUGGGAAGAACACCAGUGGCGAAGGCGGCUAUCUGGACGGUUUCUGACGCUAAGACGCGAAAGCGUGGGGAGCAAACAGGAUUAAGAAACCCGG
rnacentral:rRNA from 1 species